AGUUGUUAAUAUGUUAGCCUUUAAUCAAUACUAGUAGCCCAACCCAAUACAUAACAUUAAUAAAAAACUCAUUGAUCCUAAAUCAAUUUUGAAAGUUGAAACCCUCGAGGGUUGAACAGUACUUAAUACGCAUUGAAGUCUCCCGCUCAAACGACGACGCUUCAUUCCUCACUCCCGCUCAGAGGACGACGCUCCUGCUUCUUCUCAGGCGAAUAGGCUUCUGCUGCUCUCAGAUCAAUCAACGAUGCUUCUCCGGGUUCUCCAGUUCAAUUCAUUCAUUCCCAAACCACAAUCUGCAUCAUCAGCAGCGACACAUUGAGGGAUCAUGGCUGUUCACGGCGGCGUACAGGCGUCGCACAAGAGUGUACAGUGGUUCUCACGGCAGUAAACAACGGUCGAUCCCACAAAUUUCACGGGUUCGUUCGUAUCUCAUCGGCCGUUCACGGAUUUCACGGUGGAGCGGCAGUCGGCGUUCACGGGUUCCACGGCGGGGCAUAAGUCGGCGGUGGUGAUGGUCUGGUGGUGGUGACCAUGACAACUGUGUGUCUAGGGUUCCGGCGAGGGUACCAGUGUCUCUCAUAGUGUCUCUCAUCGACCGAUCUAGAUACAGAAUGGGACACUUGAAUGUUAUCUUGAACAACCGCAACAUCAUUGACUUGAAUCGACCGAUCUAGAUACAGAAUACACUUGAAGGUGAUCUUGAAGUCAGAGACUUGAAUCAGAGACUUGAAUCGGUGUUCCAGCGAGAAUUCGAUCAGGUAAUCUCUUUUCGUUUGCAUCUCUCCAUUUUUAUGCAGAUCGGUUCAUCGUGUAGUUAGUGGGCGAGCAUGAAGGAGAUGGGAAAUGACUGUAGGUUCACCACCGUCAAUCCAACAUCGCGGUCACAACUACAUCACCGGACCAUCCCGGAUGGGUCACUGCGGAUUGGACAUUUGAACAGUACAGGAACAGUACGCCUAUUGGCACCUAAUGGCACCCCAUAUUGGAUACCCGAUGUUGACGAUGAUCCCGAAGAAUCUGCAUACAUACAAGAAUCUGAGCAAACUCUUAGACGUUCAACCAGACCAGAAGUCCGUAAAUCAACCAACCCGACUUAUUAUUCUUGAUUGAACUAUUUACGACGAUAAAUGUUUUGCACUAUAUGUUUGUUUUCAAAUGUUUAUGAUUAUCAUCGUUAUAUUUUGUUAUCAAUUACCUAUUGUAUGUGUUAUACUUUGUUAUCAAUUACCUAUUAUAUGUAAUCGUUUCAAAUUUUAUUA